AGGAAAGUAAAGGUGCUUUUAAAUUUUAUUUAACCCUGCUGUUUGUAUCUUCUCAUUAUUUUAUAACUGAAACAUGAUGCUGGGGUUUUGAAACAGUUAUGCUGGAGGACCAAACACCCUCGCAUCUGGAUUUGCAGCUGUCUUUGGCCAAGUUAGAUGAUGAGAGCAGCAGGACAUUCCCUGAAGAUACUGUGGCCCUUAGAGCGCUCUCACUGGAGCAGAUUUGUUUGAACUUGAGGACGAGGGAAGGACCUUAAUCCCCAACCCACUUCUGCUGCUGAAGAGGCAAGAAAAGAAGUUGAGUUGAGCCCAGCAAAAAUGGGGAAAAUGUACUGUUUUAUAUUUUCGUCUCUGUUUCUCACUACCCAAAUAGCAAUACGUUUAAAUUCAUCUUGGCCAGGUUUUUCUGUCCUAGAUGGUAUCCAGUAAGUGAUCUUCCUGUCCUUUAUCUUGACCCAUGAACUCUUUCAUCCUAUUUUCUCCCCUUGUCCUCCUGAGGAGAGGGAAAGUGGGGUGAGCAUGUGGGGUGAAUGUUUGGAUGCUGGCCAAGGGUUAUCCACCACACAUUUAUAUUCAGAUUAUACGAUAUCUAUUUUAUCCAGAUUAAUAUAGUUGAGCAUAAAUUAAUUUUUUUGCAUUUCUGUUGCCUAUUCUAAAAUUAUUAAAUCCAGUCUCAUUUUACAGGCUUCAUUGCUACAAGCAACAGAGUAUUUUUACCUUAUCAAACAGAAGAGUGAAGGUCCUGCUGCAUUUUCCUUUGUGUUAAUACAUAAUUCCUCUGGAAAAGACUUAGAACAGAAAUUCAAGGACCUGUGAGCUUGUCCUCAGAUUCUCCAUAGGAACAGAGGGUAGGAUUCCUGAUCAUUUCAGUCCUUCUAAAUCUGUCAUUUCUUUGUGGAGCAGCAAGAAACUACUAAAGAAUCCAUCAAAAAAUACCAUGGCUGUAUGACGGGGAUGAACCUGCACUUUCAAAGAUGAUAAGUAUUUAAUUUUGCUGUUUGAUUGGGAGCUACACACAUUGCAUCUGUUACGUAGUGUUUUGGCAUGAAAAAAUCUGAAAAAAUCUGAUUUACUGUACUUCUGCAGCUCCCUUUCAAAUACAUGUAGAGAACCCUUCAGAGACCAGAAAAGCACUUUAACACAUUUAACUUGCACUUCCCUCCAGGAAUUUACCGGUUCAUGGUGUGAGGGAUACAUGUGAUUAUCUCCUUCUCCCUGCAAACUGUGGAGCAUCUCCAAGACUUAGGUAAAUUUCUAUAUCGUUUCAUUGAAAGAAGCCAGAAUUUGAAACUGGCUAUUAUGGGAAUCCCAAAGAACUACCCAAAGUGACAGUAUUUGCAGAGUUCCAGUGCAAAUACUUUACGUGUCCUUGCAGUCUGGGAGGAUGGGAUCGUUCAGCUGAAGCCAUUUAAAAUGUAUGGAUCUAGACCAAGCCACUUGUUUCAAGCAUUCUUUGCAGAGUUUGUUGCUGGCAGGGGGCAGUUGAUCUCAAAGUCUAUCUGCAUGAAUGUUUUAUAGAGCCUAGACAAUCACUUUCAGCCAUGUAUCAAAUUUUUGAUUUAUCAUGAAAGCCUCCAACACUGUGAAUCCAUAAUCAAUCAUAAUAUUUCAUUAACUUUGGAUGAUUCAGUUAUGUGAUAACUUUUUGUAAAGCCUACAGGAAGUUAAGCUGUCUUUAUAUUUGACAUAUAUUUCAAUAUGUAAAUACAGAUUUGAAUAAUUUCUGUUCUAUCUGAUGAAAUUAUUACAUUUAAUAGUGUAUUUAUUUAGUUUCAUUUAUUUCUUACUAUUUUUAGCAUACUGUAUUUCUCUUAGGAAGAAAAGCCUGAAAACUAUAUGUAAAUAUAGUUAUAAAUAUAGUAUAGUAUAAAAUAAAUAUAAAUAAUGAAAUUUUAGGGUUUUUUUUCUUUUGGUCUUUGAUGAACAUUUUUUUCAAUUCAUUCUAAAAUCAAAUAAUAAGAUAUUUUUAACAAUAACAAAAUGAAAGGAAUCCUGAAGGACCAGAAUCCUGAAGGUGGCUUUUAUAUUGCUGUGUCACAGAGGAAAACAAUGACAAAUUAGCUGCUCUUCUGACAAAAUAUCUGUGCUUUUUGUGC
ensembl:lncRNA